GGUACAAGAAUGCCCCAAGGCAUCACAGGGACUGGUAGGGGUGCUCCAGCAUUGUCCACGUUGAAGGACUGAUCACACAGUACAUGGUGUCAAACUCCACUUUUCUUUCUAGGGCUGUGUCCUCAUGCUGUUAUGGAGAGAGCCUUGUCUUCUGAUUCUCCCAACCUGAGAGGCAAGUAGUUCAUUUUUAAUUAAGUGAUAGUUAUCAUACCUUGUCCUUAAUUUUUGUCUUAUGUUGACCAUCUCUACUUUCAGUUCUUUUCUGCUGAUAACAGUUAAGCGAAAGAUGAUGUCAGUGUGCUGUGUGAUCCUCCUUUCUGAUGGAAAAUCAGAAAUGAACAGUCCUUGGAGACCUUCUGCAGGUCGUAGCUUUUCCCAGCUGGGAAGCUGGUUUGUGGGAUGA
rnacentral:lncRNA from 1 species